UACGAAGGGUGCAAACGUUGCUCGGAAUUAUUGGGCGUAAAGGGCGCGUAGGCGGCCUGGCGCGUCGGCUGUGAAAUCUCCCCGGCUCAACUGGGGAGGGGACGGCCGAUACGGCUGGGCUUGAGCGAGGGUAGGGGGAGAGUGGAAUUCCCGGUGUAGCGGUGAAAUGCGCAGAUAUCAGGAGGAACACCCGUGGCGAAAGCGGCUCUCUGGGACGGUACUGACGCUGAGACGCGAAAGCGUGGGGGAGCAAACAGG
rnacentral:rRNA from 1 species